AAUAUUUGAAAAUGGGGGCGACCCUGACCCAGCCAUGCCGCGAGUGUGAAGAAGGACAUAGGAUUGUAAAUCACUUUAAGUUGAGAGAAAGGGCUUUAGGUUAAUACCCUGAAGUUUUGACGUUACCAACAGAAUAAGCACCGGCUAACUCUGUGCUAGCAGCCGCGGUAAUACAGAGGGUGCAAGCGUUAAUCGGAAUUACUGGGCGUAAAGCGCGCGUAGGUGGUUCAGUAAGAUGGGUGUGAAAUCCCCGGGCUUAACCUGGGAACUGCUUUCAUAACUGCUGAGCUAGAGUACGGUAGAGGGUAGUGGAAUUUCCUGUGUAGCGGUGAAAUGCGUAGAUAUAGGAAGGAACACCAGUGGCGAAGGCGACUACCUGGACUGAUACUGACACUGAGGUGCGAAAGCGUGGGGAGCAAAC
rnacentral:rRNA from 1 species